CCACCUCGUCCUUAUCACCCGAUCCGAUAAUCUCUUUCAUUUGGCUUUCACUUAUCCAAGUUUUCUUUUAUCCGAAACAUUGAAAACCCUAGACGUUUCUCUGCAGAAAAAUCCUUCCACCAACCAUGAUCUGACCAAAGCCUCGUAAAAGUCUUGAAUUCGAAUGGAGAAUCAGGGAUUCUUCUCAUCCUCAUCAGGUAAUGUUCUCUCAGAGACACCUAAAUUUUCCCAGUUUCAAAACUAUUUAUCUUUUUAUCCUUCACUUCACCAGAAAUUUCUUUACAUCAUUCGAUCGAGAAGAGCAUAGAAAAACCUAUCCAUCUACUAAAUCCCCGUAAACCAAAUCGAUAACCCUCCAUCCCCGAAUCUCUCUCCCAAUCUCUGCUCAAACAAAGAAGAAGAAAGAAGAAGUAAAUUAUGUUGAUGAAGAGGGAGAAAUGGUGAAGGCCUCGUUUUUCAUUCUUCUGCUUAAGGGUUUUCAGCAACAGAAGAUGAUGACUACAAGUAUGGAGAUGAAGAUGGAGAUUUUGUGAAAUAAUAAGAUGAAGUUAUGGUGACAAUUUCCUAACAAGUUAUGCCGGAACCUGUAACCUGUUUUGCAAUGCCUUAGCGAAUCGAAGAGACAGUAACGAUUGUGAGCUUUUCUGGCAAGGCAAGUGAUGGUGACGGAGCUUAAAUGGAGGCUAAAUUUGUUAAAUACUUAACUGUGCAUUGAUGGAAACUAAUUUAUAAAUGAACUACAGAAUAGGGUUGCUACCUCCUCCUUACAAUUGUAUUUUGGAGGCAUUUUAAGGAAUCUUCCAAGGAUUUAAGAGUUCUUGAAAGACCCAUCUUUUGCUGCCAUAUGCCCCUCACAUCCUCUUGUUCUUACGAGAACAUAUCCUCAAUUUAAUUAGUUUGAAUAUAAACUGCUUGUUGUUGUGUAAGGUAAAUUUUAUUAAGUUGCUGACAGUGUCUAUGCUUUAUGCUUGAGCAGGAAUCGAUGAUGUUUUUGUAAUGACUGUGAUUGGGGUACUUGGAGAGAUCCAAAUUGGAUGAAAUGCCCAGCGGCGGUGUCCUUUGGUUCUGGAGGAGAACUUGUUUCAUAUAAAAAUAGUCAUUCAGCUACCAAUCCACCUACUGGAGGUUCCGAGGAUACAGGGAUUAUUCGACCUUCCCUUAAUGUAUUGAUUGAUUUUUGAGUAACUGAGGGGAGCUGUUGCAAGUGUUUUUGUUGAUUUUACUACGCCACCCAGCAAUGCCGAAUAUAACUGCCUCAUUAAUGUUAUACUGGAUCCAAGUGGAUGUUGUACGAUGCAAUACUUUGGAGAUGUGUCACUAGGUCAUAUGAUUAUGAGGCAUAAAACUUUUGUAAUCCUAUAGGAGAGACUAAAUCAAAUGUAGAGUAAGUGGCAGUCAUAGUAGAUUGAUUUGUUCAGUGUGAUUUUGAGUUGGAAAUGCAGGAUGAAUUUAUCCUUUUUUGGUUGUAAUGUAAAACUUCAUCUUUUAAAUGUAAUUUAUACCAGAUUUCAGAUU